rnacentral:rRNA from 1 species
UACGAGGGGGGCGAGCGUUGUUCGGAAUUAUUGGGCGUAAAGGGUGCGUAGGCGGUUCCGCAAGUCCUGUGUGAAAUCUUCGGGCUCAACUCGAAGUCUGCACGGGAAACUGCGGGGCUUGAGUGUGGGAGAGGUGAGUGGAAUUCCCGGUGUAGCGGUGAAAAUGCGUAGAUAUCGGGAGGAACACCUGUGGCGAAAAGCGGCUCACUGGACCUAACUGACGCUGAUGCACGAAAGCUGGGGGGAGCAAAACAGG